rnacentral:rRNA from 1 species
UGGGGAAUUUUGGACAAUGGGCGCAAGCCUGAUCCAGCCAUGCCGCGUGCGGGAAGGAGGCCUUCGGGUUGUAAACCGCUUUUGUCAGGGGAAGAAAUCUUCUGAGUUAAUACCUCGGGAGGAUGACGGUACCUGAAGAAUAAGCACCGGCUAACUACGUGCCAGCAGCCGCGGUAAUACGUAGGGUGCAAGCGUUAAUCGGAAUUACUGGGCGUAAAGCGUGCGCAGGCGGUUUUGUAAGACAGAGGUGAAAUCCCCGGGCUCAACCUGGGAACUGCCUUUGUGACUGCAAGGCUUGAGUGCGGCAGAGGGGGAUGGAAUUCCGCGUGUAGCAGUGAAAUGCGUAGAUAUGCGGAGGAACACCGAUGGCGAAGGCAAUCCCCCUGGGCCUGCACUGACGCUCAUGCA